GACGAACGCUGGCGGCGUGCUUAACACAUGCAAGUCGAACGGAAACGCCCUUCGGAGUACUCGAUUGGCGAACGGGGGAGUAACACGGGGGUGAUCCGCCCUGCACUUUGGGAUCAGCCUGGGAAACUGGGUCUAAUACAGACUAGAACCGCGGCCUUCAUGGGAUGUGGUGGGAAGCUUUUGCGGUGUGUGAUGGGCCCUCGGCCUAUCAGUUAGUUGGUGGGGUAAUGGCGUACCAAGGCGACGACGGGUAGCCGGCCUGAUAGGGUGACCGGCCACACUGGGACUGAGAUACGGCCCAGACUCCUACGGGAGGCAGCAGUGGGGAAUAUUGCACAAUGGGCGCUAGCCUGAUGCAGCGACGCCGCGUGAGGAAUGACGGCCUUCGGGUUGUAAACCUCUUUCAGCUCCGACGAAGCGCAAGUGACGGUAGGAGUAGAAGAAGGACCGGCCAACUACGUGCCAGCCGCCGCCGUAA
rnacentral:rRNA from 1 species